rnacentral:rRNA from 1 species
CAUCGGAUCCACAGGUCUGCCCGCCCAUAUGCGACUAUGAGUCGUAAACGGCCGCCCUAGCGUGAGGGUGCUAAGGUAGCGAAAUUCCUUGCCUUUUAAUUGUAGGCCUGCAUGAAUGGCUUGACGAGGGUUUAACUGUCUCUAGUCUUAAAAUUAAAAUUGGAUUGAAGGUGAAGAUACCUUCAUAUAAAAGUCAGACAAGAAGACCCCGUGCAACUUUUAAAGUCAGUUUAUUAAGGAACUUAAGAUUUUUAGGUGGGGCGCCUACUAAGUAACUGUAACCUUUGUGAAUAUUAAAAACUUUCAAGUAUAGACCCGGCAAAUGCCGAUCAUAGGAGAAGUUACGCCGGGGAUAACAGGCUAAUUCACUAGUAGAGAACGUAUUGGCUAGUGAGAUUGGCACCUCGAUGUUGAAUCAGGGAUGAUACCUUUAAGGCGUAGAAGCUUUAGAAGUGGGUCUGUUCGACCUUUAAUACCCUACGUGAUCUGGUUCCAAA